ACACAACAUAAUGGUCAAACGACGGUGGAAAUUGAACUUUUGCCAACCGAUCCAACAAAAGAUAUGUUGGUAACUCUCUCUGCAAAGCUCUGUAAACACCCUAUCUCAACAACAAUGGCACCAGUCACAUCAGCACCUACAUCAACUCUAACAACAACUACUCCACGGUUCUGUAAUAUAUCA